rnacentral:rRNA from 1 species
AUUGAACGCUGGCGGCAUGCUUUACACAUGCAAGUCGAACGGUAACAGGCCGCAAGGUGCUGACGAGUGGCGAACGGGUGAGUAAUGCAUCGGAACGUGCCCAGUCGCGGGGGAUAACGGAGCGAAAGCUGUGCUAAUCCCGAAUACGCUCUAUGGAUGAAAGCGGGGGGCCGUAAGGCCUUCCGCGCUUGGCGCGGCGGAGGUCGGAGUAGGUAGUGGGUGUGGUAAAGGCCUACAAAGCCAAAGAUCUGUAGCUGGUCGGAGAGGCCGACCAACAACACUGGGACUGAGACAAGGCCCAGACUCCUACGGGAGGCAGCAGUGGGGAAUUUUGGACAAUGGGCGCAAGCCUGAUCCAGCAAUGCAGCGUGCAGGAAGAAGGCCUUCGGGUUGUAAACUGCUUUUGUACGGAACGAAACGGUCUGGGUUAAUACCCUGGACUAAUGACGGUACCGUAAGAAUAAGCACCGGCUAACUACGUGCCAGCAGCCGCCGUAAUAC